rnacentral:rRNA from 1 species
UACGAAGGGUGCUAGCGUUGUCCGGAAUCAUUGGGCGUAAAGCGCGCGUAGGCGGCCCGAUAAGUCCGCUGUAAAAGUCAACGGCUCAACUGUUGAAAGCCGGUGGAUACUGUCGGGCUAGAGUACGGAAGAGGCAAGUGGAAUUCCUGGUGUAGCGGUGGAAUGCGCAGAUAUCAGGAGGAACACCUGUAGCGAAGGCAGCUUGCUGGGACGUUACUGACGCUAAGGCGCGAAAGUGUGGGGAGCGAACAGG